rnacentral:tRNA from 1 species
GGAGAUGUCGCGUAGUUGGUCGAGCGCGCACGAUUGGAAAUCGUGUAUGGGUCAAAAGCUCAUCAAGAGUUCGAAUCUCUUCAUCUCCGCCA